GAUGAACGCUGGCGGCGUGCCUAAUACAUGCAAGUCGAGCGAACAGACGAGGAGCUUGCUCCUCUGACGUUAGCGGCGGACGGGUGAGUAACACGUGGAUAACCUACCUAUAAGACUGGGAUAACUUCGGGAAACCGGAGCUAAUACCGGAUAAUAUAUUGAACCGCAUGGUUCAAUAGUGAAAGACGGUUUUGCUGUCACUUAUAGAUGGAUCCGCGCCGCAUUAGCUAGUUGGUAAGGUAACGGCUUACCAAGGCAACGAUGCGUAGCCGACCUGAGGGGGUGAUCGGCCACACUGGAACUGAGACACGGUCCAGACUCCUACGGGAGGCAGCAGUAGGGAAUCUUCCGCAAUGGGCGAAAGCCUGACGGAGCAACGCCGCGUGAAUGAUGAAGGUCUUCGGAUCGUAAAACUCUGUUAUUAGGGAAGAACAAAUGUGUAAGUAACUAUGCACGUCUUGACGGUACCUAAUCAGAAAGCCACGGCUAACUACGUG
rnacentral:rRNA from 1 species